rnacentral:rRNA from 1 species
GACGAACGCUGGCGGCGUGCUUAACACAUGCAAGUCGAACGGAAAGGCCCUGCUUGCAGGGUACUCGAGUGGCGAACGGGUGAGUAACACGUGGGUGAUCUGCCCUGCACUUCGGGAUAAGCCUGGGAAACUGGGUCUAAUACCGGAUAGGAGCCAUUUUUAGUGUGAUGGUUGGAAAGUUUUUUCGGUGUAGGAUGAGCUCGCGGCCUAUCAGCUUGUUGGUGGGGUAAUGGCCUACCAAGGCGGCGACGGGUAGCCGGCCUGAGAGGGUGGACGGCCACAUUGGGACUGAGAUACGGCCCAGACUCCUACGGGAGGCAGCAGGGGGGAAUAUUGCACAAUGGGCGCAAGCCUGAUGCAGCGACACCGCGUGGGGGAUGACGGCCUUCGGGUUGUAAACUCCUUUCGCUAGGGACGAAGCUUUUUGUGACGGUACCUAGAGAAGAAGCACCGGCUAACUACGUG